rnacentral:rRNA from 1 species
AGUUAGAAUCUUCGGAGGAAGACAUAUGUGACUGAGCGGCGGACGGGUGAGUAACGCGUGGGUAACCUGCCUUACACAGGGGGAUAACAGUUAGAAAUGACUGCUAAUACCGCAUAAGACCACAGUACUGCAUGGUACAGUGGUAAAAACUGAGGUGGCGUAAGAUGGACCCGCGUCUGAUUAGGUAGUUGGUGGGGUAAUGGCCCACCAAGCCGAUGAUCAGUAGCCGGCCUGAGAGGGUGGACGGCCACAUUGGGACUGAGACACGGCCCAGACUCCUACGGGAGGCAGCAGUGGGGAAUAUUGCACAAUGGGGGAAACCCUGAUGCAGCGACGCCGCGUGAGCGAUGAAGUAUUUCGGUAUGUAAAGCUCUAUCAGCAGGGAAGAAAAUGACGGUACCUGACUAAGAAGCCCCGGCUAACUACGUGCCAGCAGCCGCGGUAAUACGUAGGGGGCAAGCGUUAUCCGGAUUUACUGGGUGUAAAGGGAGCGUAGACGGCAUGGCAAGCCAGAUGUGAAAUACCGGGGCUCAACCCCGGGACUGCAUUUGGAACUGUUAAGCUGGAGUGUCGGAGAGGCAGGCGGAAUUCCUAGUGUAGCGGUGAAACGCGUAGAUAUUAGGAGGAACACCAGUGGCGAAGGCGGCCUGCUGGACGAUGACUGACGUUGAGGCUCGAAAGCGUGGGGAGCAAACAGGGUUAGAUACCCUGGUAG